GCGACCCCAGGUCAGGU
rnacentral:rRNA from 4 species